rnacentral:rRNA from 1 species
CCUACGGGAGGCAGCAGUGAGGAAUAUUUGUCAAUGGGCGUAAGCCUGAUCCCGCCAAGUCGCGUGAGGGAUGAAGGUUCUAUGGAUCGUAAACCUCUUUUAUAAGGGAAUAAAGUGUGGGACGUGUCCUAUUUUGUAUGUACCUUAUGAAUAAGGAGCGGCUAACUCCGUGCCAGCAGCCGCGGUAAUACGGAGGAUCCGAGCGUUAUCCGGAUUUAUUGGGUUUAAAGGGUGCGUAGGCGGCCUUUUAAGUCAGCGGUGAAAGUCUGUGGCUCAACCAGAGAAUUGCCGUUGAAACUGGGGAGCUUGAGUAUGUUAGAGGCAGGCGGAAUGCGUGGUGUAGCGGUGAAAUGCUUAGAUAUCACGCAGAACCCCGAGUGCGAAGGCAGCCUGCCAAGCCAUGACUGACGCUGAUGCACGAAAGCGUGGGGAUCAAACAGGAUUAGAUACCCGUGUAGUC